rnacentral:lncRNA from 1 species
UGAAAUCUUAUUGCAAUGGAGCCCUAGAAAAUACGCAAUUUAAUAACCUAGCCGAUCACCAUACUCCCAAAUUCGAAGAAUCCACGAAUUACGAGUCACAAUAAUCAUAACCAAAAGUUAUAUAGGGAAAUAUUCUUUAGUACCGAUAUGUAUAUCAGGUGUGGCAGCAGCAGUAGCAUCAACAAUAACAGUAACCGUCUUAUAAUCCAAAGCAACCGCAUCAAAGACAGUCUGUCGAAUGCAAUUCGGAGUUUGAACACCUAAUUAAUAAGGGUAACAAAAUUUAUUAAACCUCAACUCAUACAUAACAAUAAUAUACACACACGGGUUUAUUGCAUGUAGCCCCCUUGUGUUUACUCCAAUUGCCAAAAAACUCCCCACACUAUAAAUAUUAGCAAAAUUACCCCCGUGAUUCAAUUUUAUCAGCAAACUACCCCCGGCUGAAAAGAUGCAUCAUAGGGGGCUGUUUGCUAAUAUUUAUAGUACGAGGAGUUCUUUAGCAAUUUCGUAUGAUACAAGGGUACUAAAAUGCAAUAAACUCAUAUAAUCUAAAAUCUAAGACAUAAUAAUCUCCAACAAAAAAAAAAUCGAAAGUCAUAUUUACCAAUGAUGACUAAGUUAGUAACUCCAGCACAAUGAAGAUACGAAUUGAGGUGCGUGUUAAAAAAUGCACUAAAUCUCGUUUUCACCAAUUUAUAGUCCCCUUCUUCAAUCACUAGCCCGUCGACCAAUUCCGCACCGACGGUGCCCUUAGAAGUGGGCUUUGGUUUUUCAGCAGAAUCGUACAAAUGCCGUCGGAAUAAUUCAACAUCCCUCCCAAACGGAUCAUGCUCUCGAACAACCUACGAAACCAACUUCUUUUCUCACACUCACAAUCGUAUAUAAUUAUUCAUCGCAAGCUCAAAACUUCAAAGGCAACUAAAAAAAAAGUUCUACAUUACUAAAUUAAGGGUUUUUUUUCUCUCACUAAACUUCAUCAAGAAAACGAAAAUCAAGCUUCGUAAAUUCGUAGAAGGCCCGAUUAUGCUUUGAUUAUACAUGAUAAUCACAUACUCUAUAACAUCAAAACAUAUGUAUAUUAACUUUUACUUCAAUUUAGAUAGGAAUUCAAGAUUAGUGAAUUUGCAGCAAAAUCUUAAUGGAUAAAUACAAAAUUUCGUAGAAUUUGCUGUUUUAUUUCUGGUGGGUUCUAUUUUCUAUAGGAUUUAUCAGUAAAAAUUACUUCUUUUCAAGAUUCGGUGGUGAGUUGAGCAAGAAUAGAAAAAGGGGUACCCAAAUAAUAGGAAUUGUACGGUUUCGAGAUACUUGGACAGCCUUAAUAACAUUAGCCACAAUUGAUUCGCCGCCUCUCACAUGCAUCGGCCCACCUGGCAAAAUGAAAUCUUUCUGCCAAAAAAUAAAAAUAAAAAUGAUAAUAAUAAUGUAAAUCAAAAGAAAAUAGAAGAUCGAUGAACAAAGUAAAAUGGAGAAAAAUAAAAUAAAGAAAAGGGUUUAAGUACCUGCAUAUCAAUUACAAGAAGGGCAGUGUUUUUCCACUUCAACUCAGCUGCUGCUGCUGCUGCUGCCAUUUUUGCAAGUAAAAAAGCUUACUGUGAAGUGUGAAGAUGCUAUUUUUUUAUUUAUUUUUUUCCGGUUCCUUUUAUUGAUAAUCCAAAAAUCCAGCUAGAUGGUGGAAUUAAUUAUGGGCCUUUUCAGAAUUUUUAUUUACUUAUGUAUAAAUAAUAUUAUAUAAAAAAGAACCAAAUAUCGUUGAGCUUUCAUAGCUCAGUUGGUUAGAGCACCCGUUUAGUAAGCGGGAGGUCUUGAGUUCAACUCUCAAUGAAAGCACAACUUUAAUUGAUUUUAAUUUUAAUGUCAGCGAAUGUUUUUCAGCUGCAUGUAUAUCAUUUGUUUUUUAUUUUUAUUAAAGAAAUGAAUUUAAACAAAGGAAAAAAAAUAAUUUAUUUUUUUCCCUCAUCUUUCAGUAAGAACCAUUUCAUAACAACAACACAUUACAACUCUGUGAAAACCUUAUCAAAGGUGUAAUAAUAUCACAUUACAAAACAAGUAAAAUUAUAAGUACAAACCAAUUAGUCUGUACCCUGACAUGCUAUGGACUAAAAGACCAACUUAUUUAAUUUUACAAAAAAACUCGGUAAAUUAAUUCGUUUACGAAACGAAUUAAUUAAUUAAUUGCACCAUUCUUCUAGUGUCGGUGUCGCCACUCCAAUAUUUUUCAUGUCGAUAAUAUUUGCUGCAAGACGAACGAAAGAAGGCACAUAAGAACAAGACAUUAAUCAAAAUAGUAUUUAAUUUAUGACUAGAGAUAACGACGAACGCUACACGGUAUUGCUCGAUUGUUUUUUUAUACUAGGUUGUUUUAGGAAAAACCAGGGCCGCGGCCCUAUAAUACAUACUAAAUUAUUAAUUUGAUAAUUUAAUAUUCCAGUAAAUUAAUAAAAUUCUCCUAGUCCCGACUGUAUUGCUUAUACAUGUUUAAGUGUAGUGUGUAUACAUCCUUUUCACCUUAAUUAAUCUUUUGCAAUCAAGUUCGUCACACAGUCAAGAGUAAUUAAAAAUAGAAUGUCACCUAUAUGUAUAUCAGGUGUGGCAGCAGCAGUGGCAUCAACGAUAACCGUAACCGUUUCAUAAUCCAAAGCAACUGCAUCGAAGGCCGUUUGUCGGAUACAAUUCGGAGUUUG